rnacentral:rRNA from 1 species
GCUUUAAGAUUAGCCUGCGUCCGAUUAGCUAGUUGGUGGGGUAAGGGCCUACCAAGGCGACGAUCGGUAGCUGGUCUGAGAGGAUGACCAGCCACACUGGAACUGAGACACGGUCCAGACUCCUACGGGAGGCAGCAGUGGGGAAUAUUGGACAAUGGGGGCAACCCUGAUCCAGCAAUGCCGCGUGUGUGAAGAAGGCCUGAGGGUUGUAAAGCCACUUUCAGUGGGGAGGAGGGUUGAUAGGUUAAGAGCUAA